CGGAGCUCGGCGCUUGUGAAAGCGGAAAGUCGAGCCCAGGACGCCUCUAACAGGCGAGCGGUGGUGCCCCGAGUCCGGUGCUCACCGGACGCGGGCCUAUCAGUCUGGACCUGUUCCGAGUUCACUGGCGAGAUCCUAGCUGGCCUGGGUGGCCCAGCUGUGCAAGAUGACGUGGGGACCCGGGAUAGCUUUCGGAACCUGGAAUUGCGGGCCUGAGACUCGGUGGCUUCCCGUUUAUAUGCUCGGGCCUAGUGGUCUGGCUGCAGUAGAGUCCACAUCAGGAUGACAGCUGGCAGAGUCUUUAUAGAGCAGACGCCAAGUCCCAGCACUAGACACAGGAGAAGAAAACCGAGACUUAAGACUAGCUAGAACAACCCAGCUAAGGCCUUGCUGUAACUGGGAGGUCAUGCGGGCCGCUACUUUUCCAUCCUUCCCCCUGGUGUUCGACAUUGCAGUAGAUCCUUUCAAACCCAGGACUGAAGAAUGAUGGGUUGGCUAGAUGGAAUGAGAUUCGAGGGGUCCCUGUAUGGACCCCUGAGUAUCAGUGUAGGGUGAAAACAAAACCCCAAACAACUCACACCUUGGGUAAGCUUUCACUGAAAGUUUGAACUCUCCAAAUACUGUGCUUGGCCCGGUUCCUGGCUACACUCCUUAUGAGGCUGCCACCACCUGCCACCUCCUCUAGGUAUCUCGGCAUAAGGCAGUUUCCCACUUCCAGGAAUGCCAUUUGAGUAGGAGGGCUAAUAAGGCCUGAAGAAUGUAAAAUUAAAAAUCUGGGACUUUUAAAUUCCAUCCCUUGUUGCCUGAUGUGUGUUCUCUGUGUGUGGUAUGUGGAGGAAUUGUGAAUUUUUAUAUUUGUGUAAAUACAAUCAUGAAGGUGCUGGAGUCCCAAGUGAUUUUUGGCUAUGUGCUCUUCAAAAAGCUAGUAAUGAAUUGGUAAUAUGUUUUUACUUAAACUCAAAUCACCCAUUUUAACCUCAGAGUUGCCCUUUGAAUUCAAGAUUUUUGUUCUUGUUUUACAGGUGACGAGACUGAGACUGAGAGGCUCAAGCCUUGGACACUAUGUAAGUUCAAGUGCACAGGCUAGAUUCAGAACCAAUCGUUGGACUCCGGUGGUGCUGCCUUUCUUUUGUCCCAAAGAGCAGAAUCAAUUGGCAUAUGUUCACUUUUCAUCUGCACAAAGCUGAAGCUUUGGUAAGUGGAAGGAUAGAGCAAGCUGUGUGUCUGAACAAAUUGGAUCACACACCUAAGACCGAAUGACAGCAAAACUUAAUGACAGCACUUCUAAAUACACAUAUGCAAACGAGGCACACCAUAGAAGCUCUCGACAAGUACUGACAAGCCAGACAGCAGACUUACCUUGAAACCUGCCUCCCAAAUAAAAACCUCAUAAUUAAAAACAAGCCUGUCCACAAAGCAUCCCUUGUUAUAACAAUUAUUUGCAACUGGUACAAGACUUGAUUAGAAACUUAGAAGCAAGCUUUCCCAGGUAAGAAUGUUUUAUCUCCACAAGAGGCAGUCUAAUAGGAGCCUGCAGUGGUACAGUAGUACCUGUCUUGUUGGCUGGGUACCAAGAAAACAUUAGGUAGUGGAAUAUAUGCUGUAUCAGGGCAUCCUCUUUACAUCCAGGGAGCAAUCUUUUUUUAUUUUUUUGGUUUAUAUUGAAGCUUAAAGUGGUUUCUGGGAUUCCCCAAACAAUCAAAGUAGUAAGUGGCAACUGCCAUCUGAGCUAGAUCCCAACCCCUUCUAUUUUGUUUUGAAACUUGACCACAUAAUCUUAUUUGUACAAUGAGAAUAAUAAAGCCUGCCUAAGAGUGACCUCUUUAACCCCACUGAAUUGAAUGGUACUUAGUAAGUGCAUCAUAAACG
rnacentral:lncRNA from 1 species